rnacentral:rRNA from 1 species
UACGAGAGGACCGGAGUGGACGCAUCACUGGUGUUCGGGUUGUCAUGCCAAUGGCACUGCCCGGUAGCUAAAUGCGGAAGAGAUAAGUGCUGAAAGCAUCUAAGCACGAAACUUGCCCCGAGAUGAGUUCUCCCUGAGACUUAGAGUCUCCUGAAGGAACGUUGAAGACGACGACGUUGAUAGGCCGGGUGUGUAAGCGCAGCGAUGCGUUGAGCUAACCGGUACUAAUGAACCGUGAGGCUUAACCUU